ACGCCGGCCAGCGAGAACGGACGCCGCAGCGCCGCUGAGGAUGUGAUGGAGGUGGUACGCGCCGCCGAAAUCCUGUCGCACGCGCCGCUGCCGCCCAACACCGUGCUGCCGGGCUCGCCGCCCGCCCGCCACGCGCCCAAGAAGACCACCAUCGUGAUGAGCAAGCACACGCUCUCGCCGCAGGCCGACGCGCCGGCCGGAGCGUCGCUCGAGGGUGCCGCCGACGGCUCGCCAGCCGACUCCCC